rnacentral:lncRNA from 1 species
GAAAAAAAAAACACCCAUAAUGCUCAAACUUGUUAAAAAAUGACAAGUUCGUGAUUCAAUUUUCAUUUAUUACAAUAAAGGGUGUCAACGUGCUGAUCGAAUACGAAUUAGUGUUAAGAGCAGGUUACAUUCCAGUUGCCUUCAACCUAAAUUACACAUUGACAUAGGGCCCCAGAAGUUGUCGAGCUGGUAGAUAAUGAAGAUUAUUGCAUGUGUAAAGACAUUAUUGCCCCUAAAAUUAAUCUAUAUAAAGAAAAUAAAAGAAGAUUCAAUCAGAUUACUUGCCACUCUCCCUCUUAUUUUCACCUUCUCUCCUAUCUUUCAUAUCUUAGUUUUGAAGAUGAUGAACGAGGAUGUUGAUAUGUGCUUCUAUGACAGGGGAGGCAUUAUGAAAACAUUCUGGACAAAUCGAAACCCAAGUAGGUUCAUGACAUAUGAGAAUGGGAGGUGUAACUUUGUUUAUCCCAUGCGUGAUAGAGCAGAGCAAGUAAUUCCUUAAUCUAUUGAGGAGAAUCGCUAUUGUAAAAGAUGAAAUGCGAAUGAGCUAUAGAAGAGAGAAAUAGUUAUAGGCAUGGGCAAUUUUUUCUAUCUUGGUGACUAUGUUCAAAUAAUGGGUGGUUUAGUGGUAAAGGUUUAUGACCUUGGAAGUUUAUGCAGUAACUUUAGAGGUUCAUGUGUUAGAUUUAUCUAAGUAAUUAAUGAAAUAUAUUUGGUCUUGAUGUAAGAAAUGUUGAGAAUGUAAUCUAUAUAUAUUUAGAUUGUGAAUGUCAGUGCUUUAUGAGCUAUUUUGUAAUGAAAAGUAUGCGUUUUUACAUUGUUAGCAUUGUGUUUGAUAAAAUGCUUGAAACAAGAAAAUGCAGAAUGUAUCUUCGGCACAAGACAUGAUAAUGGUUGAUGACAACACCUAAAAUGUACCUUUCCAUUGCUUCAGAUAAUAGCACAAAUUGAUUCAGCGUUAGGUAUUCCUUGCAAAGCGUCUUCAGGUGAUUGACUAAUUAACUCUGUACUUAGAGAUUCAUCUUGUCGUUUACUUCAAAUCCUUAAUGUACUCUGUAAUUA